GGAUUGUGGCUCAGCGGUAAAGUGCUCGCUUAGAACGUGUGAGACCCUGAGUUCAAUCCUCAGCACCA
rnacentral:tRNA from 1 species